rnacentral:misc_RNA from 1 species
AAAUUUGCCUUUUUGGACGUGGUAAUUUGAUCUACCAAGCUUUUUGCUCUUUCCUGAAAUUAUCAUAUCUUAGUCGAACUUAAGAAAUUUAAAAGGAUUUAUUGGAUAAGCUUUUUGUGAUUUUGACAAGAACUGAAACAAUUGAUGACUAUAAGCCCGGUUUGGCGUCAAAGCUGAUUCUAUUGCCCAUUAACAUUUGCUAAUGAUUGAGGCCGUUAUGUCCACACAGG